CCUACGGGGGGCUGCAGUGGGGAAUAUUGGACAAUGGGGGCAACCCUGAUCCAGCCAUGCCGCGUGUGUGAAGAAGGCCCUCGGGUUGUAAAGCACUUUCAGUGAGGAAGAACGCCUGGUGGUUAAUACCCAUCAGGAAAGACAUCACUCACAGAAGAAGCACCGGCUAACUCCGUGCCAGCAGCCGUGGGAAUACGGAGGGUGCGAGCGGUAAUCGGAAUUACUGGGCGUAAAGCGCGCGUAGGUGGCUUGAUAAGCCGGUUGUGAAAGCCCCGGGCUCAACCUGGGAACGGCAUCCGGAACUGUCAAGCUAGAGUGCAGGAGAGGAAGGUAGAAUUCCCGGUGUAGCGGUGAAAUGCGUAGAGAUCGGGAGGAAUACCAGUGGCGAAGGCGGCCUUCUGGACUGAAACUGACACUGAGGUGCGAAAGCGUGGGUAGCAAACAGGAUUAGAUACCCUGGUAGUC
rnacentral:rRNA from 1 species